rnacentral:rRNA from 1 species
GACGAACGCUGGCGGCGUGCUUAACACAUGCAAGUCGAACGAAGAGCGAUGGAAGCUUGCUUCUAUCAAUCUUAGUGGCGAGCGGGUGAGUAACGCGUAAUCAACCUGCCCUUCAGAGGGGGACAACAGUUGGAAACGACUGCUAAUACCGCAUACGAUCUAAACUCGGCAUCGAGGAUAGAUGAAAGGUGGCCUCUACAUGUAAGCUAUCACUGAAGGAGGGGAUUGCGUCUGAUUAGCUAGUUGGAGGGGUAACGGCCCACCAAGGCGAUGAUCAGUAGCCGGUCUGAGAGGAUGAACGGCCACAUUGGGACUGAGACACGGCCCAGACGCCUACGGGAGGCAGCAGUGGGGAAUCUUCCGCAAUGGACGAAAGUCUGACGGAGCAACGCCGCGUGAGUGAUGACGGCCUUCGGGUUGUAAAGCUCUGUUAAUCGGGACGAAAGGCCUUCUUGCGAAUAGUGAGAAGGAUUGACGGUACCGGAAUAGAAAGCCACGGCUAACUACGUG